UGGCGGACGGGUGAGUAAUGUCUGGGAAACUGCCCGAUGGAGGGGGAUAACUACUGGAAACGGUAGCUAAUACCGCAUAACGUCGCAAGACCAAAGAGGGGGACCUUCGGGCCUCUUGCCAUCGGAUGAACCCAUAUGGGAUUAGCUAGUAGGUGAGGUAACGGCUUACCUAGGCGACGAUCCCUAGCUGGUCUGAGAGGAUGAUCAGCCACACUGGGACUGAGACACGGCCCAG
rnacentral:rRNA from 1 species